AACUCGACUCCAUGAAGUCGGAAUCGCUAGUAAUCGCGAAUCAGAAUGUCGCGGUGAAUACGUUCCCGGGCCUUGUACACACCGCCCGUCACACCAUGGGAGUGGGUUGCUCCAGAAGUAGGUAGCUUAACCUUAGGGAGGGCGCUUACCACGGAGUGAUUCAUGACUGGGGUGAAGUCGUAACAAGGUAGCCCUAGGGGAACCUGGGGCUGGAUCACCUCCUUA
rnacentral:rRNA from 1 species